rnacentral:rRNA from 1 species
AACGAACGCUGGCGGCGUGCUUAACACAUGCAAGUCGAACGCGAAAGGGACUUCGGUCCUGAGUAAAGUGGCGCACGGGUGAGUAACACGUGGAUAAUCUACCCGAUGGACCGGGAUAACACUUCGAAAGGGGUGCUAAUACUGGAUAAGCCCACAGGCUCCCUGGAGCUUGCGGGAAAAGGUGGGGACCUUCGGGCCUGCCGUCAUCGGAUGAGUCCGCGGCCCAUUAGCUAGUUGGUGGGGUAACGGCCCACCAAGGCGACGAUGGGUAGCUGGUCUGAGAGGAUGAUCAGCCACACUGGAACUGAGACACGGUCCAGACUCCUACGGGAGGCAGCAGUGGGGAAUUUUGCGCAAUGGGGGAAACCCUGACGCAGCAACGCCGCGUGAGUGAUGAAGGCUUUCGGGUCGUAAAGCUCUGUCAGAGGGGAAGAAACUGUUGUGGUCGAACAGGCCGCAAGACUGACGGUACCCUCAAAGGAAGCACCGGCUAACUCCGUGCCAGCAGCCGCGGUAAUACGGAGGGUGCAAGCGUUGUUCGGAAUUAUUGGGCGUAAAGCGCGUGUAGGCGGUUCGUUAAGUCUGAUGUGAAAGCCCGGGGCUCAACCCCGGAAGUGCAUUGGAUACUGGCGGACUUGAGUACGGGAGAGGGAAGUGGAAUUCCGAGUGUAGGGGUGAAAUCCGUAGAUAUUCGGAGGAACACCGGUGGCGAAGGCGGCUUCCUGGACCGAUACUGACGCUGAGACGCGAAAGCGUGGGGAGCAAACA